rnacentral:tRNA from 1 species
AUGCAACUUAGUUUAACUAGAACAGUCAACUUGCACUUGACAAGUGAGGUUCCUCAGUAGC